rnacentral:rRNA from 1 species
AACCUCGCCCCAUAGUCUGGGAUACCACUUGGAAACAGGUGCUAAUACCGGAUAAGAAAGCGGAUCGCAUGAUCAGCUUUUAAAAGGCGGCGUAAGCUGUCGCUAUGGGAUGGCCCCGCGGUGCAUUAGCUAGUUGGUAAGGUAAAGGCUUACCAAGGCGAUGAUGCAUAGCCGAGUUGAGAGACUGAUCGGCCACAUUGGGACUGAGACGACGGCCCAAACUCCUACGGGAGGCAGCAGUU